GGGGGGGGGCGGGCUGGGCCGGGAUCUCCCUCAGCUGAAGCUGCUUUAUCUGAUUCCAGGCUCCAGGAUUGGACACCGCUUCCUCCUCGAGAGCAGCCAGGAGCCAGCCCGCUCUCUUCUUGGCCUGGAGGAUGCUGCCUUCACACAGCGAAAGGUUCUGGCUUUCUGGAUAAAGCCAAAUCUGGUCCCACGCCUUGAAAACACAGAGGCCUCCAAACAUCAGUGAAACAGCCGAGGCCUGGGUUGGGUCAUGAAGAAAGGUGGAGGGAAGAGAUCAAGAUGCUGCCAUUUGUUCAAAAAGUGCAAGCAGCCCCAGGCAGUGAUGGAAGAGGGACAAGAUGCUCGUCAAAGCCAAGGGGUGGGCGGCGGGCUUUAAGAACAGAGAUUAUGCCAGCAAAGGGGCUCACAGCCAGCUUCAGGCUCCACAGGCAUUCCCGUCCAGCACGGAGGAAACGGCCAGACCAGUCACUUCCCAGCCCCUGAUAGACAGGAAAGGCCCCUCAGAGAGGGACCCACCCAAUGGCACAAAGUCCAGUGGGGUUGGAAGCCUGGCCUUGGUCCAGUUGCACAUUUUAGCGAUUCCUGUGUUAGAAUGAAAAUGAUAAGAAAAUGGACAUCUAAAUGCCACCAUUUUGGAUCUCCCUUCUCUUAAUUUCAGGUUGAUACUUGACCUACAGUAGCCUGGACAACUUCUGUUGGUUCCUCCCUCUUCUGGGCUCUGACUCUGCCACAAUCACUUACAGAGGCAUCUUAAAGGGUCCCUGGUCCCUUUGUGGUGGGAAGAAUCCCUCUGUGACGCCAACAAUGUCACCCCAAUGCACCUGUCUGCAAGAAGGAUUUUCAGAUAGAGGUCCACAACCCCAAAACAAUUUUGUUUUUUGCAGUUCUAAAACCCCCAAAGCUCUCAAAUGGUAAAGCUUUCUCCCAUAACUUAUACAGUGGGAAAUCUAACCUGAACUGAGGUGAGGCUAUUUACAGUUUUUAUUGAUCCCAGUUAGUCUGACUAUUCACGUUUCUCUGCAGAAAUAGUCAUGUGCUUAACGGUGGAGAGCCGUUCCCCACUCCAGCAGGGGGUAGGAAAUGGAUGCUGAAUGUCUCCUAUUCUCUUUCUCAGAUCCCAAAUUUCUGAAUUCAGAGG
rnacentral:lncRNA from 1 species